rfam:Otolemur garnettii contig022986, whole genome shotgun sequence.
AAAAAGGGCUUUUGUUGUGAGUGGCACACGUGGGGCAACUCAACUGCUCUUUGUGUGGAAUCAACAUCAAGAGAUUUUGGAAGCUACCCCA